AGUCUCCGGGUUGGACGCUCUGGACAAAGACACCUGACCUGCAGGCAUAAAGGUAAAAUACCCGGGACUCCCCACCAGUAUUAGAACUGAAGAAGCCCCUUGGAUGAGAGGUGAAACAUCUUCAACCAAGUCCAGUUGCCCUCGAUUAACGCUUUUUGGGAAGAAGCCCACUGAGAAUCAUUUAAGGAAGACCUGGCCAAGAAAGGCAGAAGAAUGGAAUUUAAAGGAAUCACUGUCACCAGGAAGUCAUUGCUCGAUCCUAAAGUACUGAAGUGGACCCAAAACGGCCCCCUAUAUUUGAGUGCUCGCAGGCGAACGGCCGCUCUCCGGUGUGAACACUCUGGUGCGUCUUCAGGUGUCCCGACUGCGUGAAACGCUUCCCGCACUGAGCACAGCUGUACGGCCGCUCGCCCGUGUGAAC